CAGCCGCCGCGGUAAUACGUAGGGGGCGAGCGUUGUCCGGAAUUACUGGGCGUAAAGGGUGCGUAGGCGGCCCUUUAAGUCAGAUGUGAAAGGCCACGGCUUAACCGUGGGAUUGCAUUUGAAACUGGAGGGCUUGAGUGUCGGAGAGGGUAGUGGAAUUCCCAGUGUAGCGGUGAAAUGCGUAGAUAUUGGGAGGAACACCAGUGGCGAAGGCGACUACCUGGACGAUAACUGACGCUGAGGCACGAAAGCUAGGGGAGCAAACAGGAUUAGAUACCCUGGUAGUCCUAGCCGUAAACGAUGGGUACUAGGUGUAGGUGGUUUCGAUACCAUCUGUGCCGGAGUUAACGCAAUAAGUACCCCGCCUGGGGAGUACGUGCGCAAGCAUGAAACUCAAAGGAAUUGACGGGGGCCCGCACAAGCGGUGGAGCAUGUGGUUUAAUUCGAAGCAACGCGAAGAACCUUACCAGGCCUUGACAUCCCCUGACCGUCAUGGAAACAUGGCUUCUCUUCGGAGCAGGGAGACAGGUGGUGCAUGGCC
rnacentral:rRNA from 1 species